rnacentral:lncRNA from 1 species
GGGGGUCUUAAUGAUAAUACCCUCGCACCUUUUAGGAAGUCCAAUAGUUUUUAUGUUUUAGAAUCUUCUUAACUUCUAAUCCAAAAACAGCACUGCUGCGGUCAGCAAAUAUGUUUAUUUUUCUUCAAACGUUUUCGACGCUAUAUAUUGCGUCCUCUUCAGGAAUAAAAUACAGAAGAAACGAACAUUUUAACGAACAUAAUAUAGAACGGAACAAUUUAAAUAUGGGGUUACCAUAACAACCUUAAUGAUUAAAUACGGGGUUACCAUAACAACCUUAAUGAUUAAAUACGGGGUUACCAUAACAACCUUAAUAGUCGCAGGAAUACACAAUUAUUAUAAACUUUUACAAGUUAUUCUAUUAACAUUGGUAGGAGUCUCUACUAAAUUCUAUAAAGAUCGUAAAUCCGUGCUACCGUGACUCAUUUUUUCUUUAACGCAUUAUAUCCAUGGAAUGGGCGGCUCCCACGCUAGCUUAUUAUUAACAAGCUUCUCGCUUUCCGAUCUUUUCAAAAUCUCUAAAGCUUCCGGUAUAGUUGGAUGCUCUUGCUUUUUUAACGGCCUAACACAAUCAACUUCAUUCCAUUUGAUGGUGACAUUGCCUUCGUACGCUCGACAUGCUAAGGCUGUACUUAGGUUAGCUUCCCUGAUAUCUCUCCUGUGCUCGUCCAUGCGUCUCUCUAUGGUCCUCGUCGUAACACCUAUGUACGCUAACUCCUC